rnacentral:rRNA from 1 species
UACGAGAGGCGCAAACGUUAUUCGGAUUUACUGGGCUUAAAGAGUUCGUAGGCGGCGCGGAAAGUGGGGUGUGAAAGCCCUCGGCUCAACCGAGGAAUGGCGCUCCAAACUACCGUGCUAGAGGAAGCUAGAGGUGAGCGGAACUGAUGGUGGAGCGGUGAAAUGCGUUGAUAUCAUCAGGAACACCGGAGGCGAAGGCGGCUCACUGGGGCUUUUCUGACGCUGAGGAACGAAAGCCAGGGGAGCGAACGGG